UUUUUAAUUCUGUUUAGUUUUCCUUACCAUUUGUCAAUCAUGUGAUACAGUGAUUGCAGUCUGAUUCGUUUGGACCGGUUGGAGUAUCAUAUAAGAGAAGAACUAAACAAAACAGCACCUUGCAAAUUGGUUGUGCUAAAUCCUCUCAAGGUGGUGAUUACCAACCUAGAAUCUGGCUCAAUCAUGCACCUUGAUGCCAAGAGAUGGCUUGAUGCUCAAACAGAUGAUGCAUCUGCUUUCUAGAAGGUGAGAAUUAGAGAUCACUCAGCAAUGACUUAAGAGAGUAAAAGUGAUUAUAAAUUCCGCACAAGUUGCAGGGAUUACUUUAUAUUUUUUCAGCUUUGGCUUUGAGUUCAUAUGUUAUUUUAGUCUGAUGGCAAAAUAAUUUUCUAA